AACGGGUGNGUAACGCGUGAGGAACCUGCCUCAAAGAGGGGGACAACAGUUGGAAACGACUGCUAAUACCGCAUAAGUCCACGGUGCCGCAUGGCACAGAGGGAAAAGGAGCAAUCCGCUUUGAGAUGGCCUCGCGUCCGAUUAGCUAGUUGGUGAGGUAACGGCCCACCAAGGCAACGAUCGGUAGCCGGACUGAGGAGGUUGAACGGCCACACUUGGGACUGAGACACGGCCCAGACUCCUACGGGAGGGCAGCAUG
rnacentral:rRNA from 1 species